UCCUCUCAUUCUAGGGCCCUACAUCAGCGCCCAUAUACGCCUUUCACUACUUUAACCAUGUAUGAGCCACAUCAUGCAAUUGAUAUGCAGCUAACUCAGCGCUCUCACUGGAAGUCACCUCAUAGCCUCUUGUCCAUAAGUGUAGCGUGCUACACACCCAUACACAAGACUCUACUAGACGCGGCUUUCAAAUACCCUAGGACUCCG
rnacentral:lncRNA from 1 species